UACGAGGGGGGCAAGCGUUGUUCGGAAUUAUUGGGCGUAAAGGGCGCGUAGGCGGUGCGGUAAGUCACCUGUGAAAACUCUGGGCUCAACUCAGAGCCUGCAGGCGAAACUGCCGUGCUUGAGUGUGGGAGAGGUGCGUGGAAUUCCCGGUGUAGCGGUGAAAUGCGUAGAUAUCAGGAGGAACACCGGUGGUGUAAACGGCUUUCUGGACCGUAACUGACGCUGAUGCACGAAAGCGUGGGUAGCAAACAGG
rnacentral:rRNA from 1 species